CUACGGGGUGCAGCAGUGGGGAAUAUUGCACAAUGGGCGCAAGCCUGAUGCAGCCAUGCCGCGUGUAUGAAGAAGGCCUUCGGGUUGUAAAGUACUUUCAGUCGUGAGGAAGGUGGUGCAGUGAAUAGCUGCAUUAUUUGACGUUAGCGACAGAAGAAGCACCGGCUAACUCCGUGCCAGCAGCCGCGGUAAUACGGAGGGUGCGAGCGUUAAUCGGAAUUACUGGGCGUAAAGCGCAUGCAGGUGGUUUGUUAAGUCAGAUGUGAAAGCCCGAGGCUCAACCUCGGAAGGUCAUUUGAAACUGGCAGGCUAGAGUACUGUAGAGGGGGGUAGAAUUUCAGGUGUAGCGGUGAAAUGCGUAGAGAUCUGAAGGAAUACCGGUGGCGAAGGCGGCCCCCUGGACAGAUACUGACACUCAGAUGCGAAAGCGUGGGGAGCAAACAGGAUUAGAUACCCCUGUAGUC
rnacentral:rRNA from 1 species